GCCCUUCGGCAGCACAUAUACUAAAAUUGGAACGAUACAGAGAAGAUUAGCAUGGCCCCUGCUCAAGCUAACACUAGAACUCAUUAUCUUACAGUUUCUUUU